rnacentral:rRNA from 1 species
UACGUAGGGUGCGAGCGUUAAUCGGAAUUACUGGGCGUAAAGCGUGCGCAGGCGGUUUUGUAAGCCAGAUGUGAAAUCCCCGGGCUCAACCUGGGAAUGGCAUUUGGGACUGCAAGGCUUGAGUGCGGCAGAGGAGACUGGAAUUCCUGGUGUAGCAGUGAAAUGCGUAGAUAUCAGGAGGAACACCAGUGGCGAAGGCGGUGCUCUGGGCCGGAACUGACGCUAAGGCGCGAAAGCGUGGGGAGCGAACAGG